AUUGAACGCUGGCGGCAUGCUUUACACAUGCAAGUCGAACGGCAGCGCGGGCUUCGGCCUGCCCUCGUGUGGCCAACGGGUGAGUAAUUCAUCGGAACGUGCCCAGUCGUUGGGGCUAGCUCGACUUCAGCCGGCUUAAUAUCGCAUCCGACCUGAUUUUGAACGCGGUGGAUCUUCAGUCCUCGCGCUUCUGGCUGUGCCUUUGACAGAUUAGCUAGUUGGUGGGGUAAAGGCCUACCAAGGCGACGAUCUGUAGCAGGUCUGAGAGGACGACCAGCCACACUGGGACUGAGACACGGCCCAGACUCCUACGGGAGGCAGCAGUAGGGAAUUUUGGACAAUGGGCGAAAGCCUGAUCCAGCAAUGCCGCGUGUGUGAUGAAGGUCUUCGGGUUGUAAAGCACUUUUGGCGGGAACGAAAAGGAGUGUGAGAAUACCACGGUUCGAUGACGGUACCCGAAGAAUAAGCACCGGCUAACUACGUG
rnacentral:rRNA from 1 species